CAUUGGGCGCUGCCGCGCAGGAAAUUCGGCCGCCAUCUUGAACCGGUCGCCUUACUCCUCUUUGAGCAGCAGAAAGAACAAGGAAGAACGCGGCGGACCGUGGGAAACAGGUCACGGGGGAUUACUUUUCACAAUGUGGAGCUCUUGUCCUCGUUUUGGGAUUGUGCAUUUUGACACACGCUUCCCCAACUGACUCCACAAACGCCUUCUGCAAGAUUGUGUGGCUGCUUGCUGUGCUGUGCAGCCAGGCUAACAUGGCCGUUGUGACUCAGAUUGAAACCAUGGGCUCCUACAAGCUGGGCCGGGUCACUCCACUGCUAAUCCACGCCAACCACACCUCAGCUGUUGGUCAGGUGUAGAGCGUUAACUUCACCUUAUCUUCCACAGCCGUGGGCCUCGGCUGCCGCGUAGAUGGUACAUCCAUGUCGGCCUUCUGGUCCAGCCUGUUUGAUAACGGCACUAACUACUGUAAUCUUCGCAACAUCAUACAAGGUGAUGCCUUUCUAAAACCCCACGCAAGGACCCACCUGAAACACCAACUCACCUGAUGAUGGCUUUCCUUCUCCACGUUCUCCCCGUUGACCUCCACGACUCGAUCCCCGGGUUUCAGCCCGGCCAGCUCGGCUGAGGAACCGGCCUCUACUUUUCGGAUGAACUGUCCACCAUUGUUCUUCUCACCGUGAAGAUGGAAUCCAUACCCUCGUUCUGUUUGGACCAGGUAGCACACCCUGGGUCUCAGCUCGCUCUCCAUGCCGGCAAGUCAAAGGCAGCAAACAGGUGCAAGUGAUGUGGGAGAAUAAACAGGCGCUUGAUCCAGAAGCAGCGGGGGGUCACGGACUCUUAAUCCAACACGAAUCAGGGCUCCUGUGCCCAAAAGAUCAUCACCGUUACGCAUGAUUAGUCAUCCACAAUCGUCCAAAGUGCGGAUAAAAAGCAGGCUAAAACUAACGAACGCUUAAGCCACCAUGCAAACUAAAUCCACCAUGCAAACUAAAUCC